rnacentral:lncRNA from 1 species
CUCAACCACACAUUAGAAAUUCAUGAUCUUGGACUUUUUGGAAAUGGGAGAGAAAGAUCUUCAACUUUCAUGUUGGACAAAAUUUAAUUUGAAGCUUUAUUAAUGAUGUAAACUUGAGUUGAAGUUGGUUUAAAACCUUGCCAUUUUUGGAAAUUUCAAAUUAUAGGUCACUUGCUAUUUUGGGAAAUUCUUGACCUGACUUCAAAUCCUU